rnacentral:rRNA from 1 species
GGCCUAACACAUGCAAGUCGAACGGUAGCAGAGAAGCUUGCUCUUGGGUGACGAGUGGCGGACGGGUGAGUAAUGUCUGGGAAACUGCCUGAUGGAGGGGGAUAACUACUGGAAACGGUAGCUAAUACCGCAUAACGUCGCAAGACCAAAGAGGGGGACCUUCGGGCCUCUUGCCAUCGGAUGUGCCCAGAUGGGAUUAGCUAGUAGGUGGGGUAACGGCUCACCUAGGCGACGAUCCCUAGCUGGUCUGAGAGGAUGACCAGCCACACUGGAACUGAGACACGGUCCAGACUCCUACGGGAGGCAGCAGUGGGGAAUAUUGCACAAUGGGCGCAAGCCUGAUGCAGCCAUGCCGCGUGUAUGAAGAAGGCCUUCGGGUUGUAAAGUACUUUCAGCGGGGAGGAAGGUGAUAAGGUUAAUAACCUUAGCUAAUUGACGUUACCCGCAGAAGAAGCACCGGCUAACUCCGUGGCAGCAGCCGCGGUAAUACGGAGGUUGCAAGCGUUAAUCGGAAUUACUGGGCGUAAAGCGCACGCAGGCGGUCUGUUAAGUCGGAUGUGAAAUCCCCGGGCUCAACCUGGCAACUGCAUUCGAUACUGGCAGGCUGGAGUCUUGUAGACGGGGGUAGAAUUCCAGGUGUAGCGGUGAAAUGCGUAGAGAUCUGGAGGAAUACCGG